AACGCUAGCUACAGGCUUAACACAUGCAAGUCGAGGGGCAGCGGGAUUGAAGCUUGCUUCAAUUGCCGGCGACCGGCGCACGGGUGAGUAACGCGUAUCCAACCUUCCGCUUACUCGGGGAUAGCCUUUCGAAAGAAAGAUUAAUACCCGAUGGUAUCUUAAGCACGCAUGAGAUUAAGAUUAAAGAUUUAUCGGUAAGCGAUGGGGAUGCGUUCCAUUAGGCAGUUGGCGGGGUAACGGCCCACCAAACCUACGAUGGAUAGGGGUUCUGAGAGGAAGGUCCCCCACAUUGGAACUGAGACACGGUCCAAACUCCUACGGGAGGCAGCAGUGAGGAAUAUUGGUCAAUGGGCGAGAGCCUGAACCAGCCAAGUAGCGUGAAGGAUGACGGCCCUACGGGUUGUAAACUUCUUUUGUGCGGGAAUAAAGGAGCCUACGUGUAGGCUUUUGCAUGUACCGUAACGAAUAAGCAUCGGCUAACUCCGUGCCAGCAGCCGCGGUAAUACGGAGGAUGCGAGCGUUAUCCGGAUUUAUUGGGUUUAAAGGGAGCGUAGGUGGAUUGUUAAGUCAGUUGUGAAAGUUUGCGGCUCAACCGCAAAAUUGCAGUUGAAACUGGCAGUCUUGAGUACAGUAGAGGUGGGCGGAAUUCGUGGUGUAGCGGUGAAAUGCUUAGAUAUCACGAAGAACUCCGAUUG
rnacentral:rRNA from 1 species